rnacentral:rRNA from 1 species
GACGAACGCUGGCGGCGUGCUUAACACAUGCAAGUCGAACGGAAAGGCCCUGCUUUUGUGGGGUGCUCGAGUGGCGAACGGGUGAGUAACACGUGAGUAACCUGCCCUUGACUUUGGGAUAACUUCAGGAAACUGGGGCUAAUACCGGAUAGGAGCUCCUGCUGCAUGGUGGGGGUUGGAAAGUUUCGGCGGUUGGGGAUGGACUCGCGGCUUAUCAGCUUGUUGGUGGGGUAGUGGCUUACCAAGGCUUUGACGGGUAGCCGGCCUGAGAGGGUGACCGGCCACGUUGGGACUGAGAUGCGGCCCAGACUCCUACGGGAGGCAGCGGUGGGGAAUAUUGCACAAUGGGCGGAAGCCUGAUGCAGCAACGCCGCGUGCGGGAUGACGGCCUUCGGGUUGUAAACCGCUUUCGCCUGUGACGAAGCGUGAGUGACGGUAAUGGGUAAAGAAGCACCGGCUAACUACGUG